rnacentral:rRNA from 1 species
UACGAAGGGGGCUAGCGUUGCUCGGAAUCACUGGGCGUAAAGCGCACGUAGGCGGAUCUUUAAGUCAGGGGUGAAAUCCCGAGGCUCAACCUCGGAACUGCCCUUGAUACUGGGGAUCUCGAGUCCGGAAGAGGUUGGUGGAACUCCGAGUGUAGAGGUGAAAUUCGUAGAUAUUUGGAAGAACACCAGUGGCGAAGGCGGCCAACUGGUCCGGCACUGACGCUGAGGUGCGAAAGCGUGGGGAGCAAACAGG